UUAUUAAGUCUGAUGUGAAAUCCCGAGGCCCAACCUCGGAACUGCAUUGGAAACUGAUUUACUUGAGUGCGAUAGAGGCAAGUGGAACUCCAUGUGUAGCGGUGAAAUGCGUAGAUAUGUGGAAGAACACCAGUGGCGAAAGCGGCUUGCUAGAUCGUAACUGACGUUGAGGCUCGAAAGUAUGGGUAGCAAACGGGAUUAGAUACCCCGGUAGUCCAUACCGUAAACGAUGGGUGCUAGUUGUUAAGAGGUUUCCGCCUCCUAGUGACGUAGCAAACGCAUUAAGCACCCCGCCUGAGGAGUACGGCCGCAAGGCUAAAACUUAAAGGAAUUGACGGGGACCUGCACAAGCGGUGGAGCAUGUGGUUUAAUUCGAAGAUACGCGAAAAACCUUACCAGGUCUUGACAUACCAAUGAUCGCUUUUGUAAUGAAAGCUUUUCUUCGGAACAUUGGAUACAGGUGGUGCAUGGUCGUCGUCAGCUCGUGUCGUGAGAUGUUGGGUUAAGUCCCGCAACGAGCGCAACCCUUGUUAUUAGUUGCCAGCAUUUAGUUGGGCACUCUAAUGAGACUGCCGGUGAUAAACCGGAGGAAGGUGGGGACGACGUCAGAUCAUCAUGCCCCUUAUGACCUGGGCAA
rnacentral:rRNA from 1 species